GUGGGGAAUAUUGCACAAUGGGGGAAACCCUGAUGCAGCGACGCCGCGUGAAGGAAGAAGUAUCUCGGUAUGUAAACUUCUAUCAGCAGGGAAGAUAGUGACGGUACCUGACUAAGAAGCCCCGGCUAACUACGUGCCAGCAGCCGCGGUAAUACGUAGGGGGCAAGCGUUAUCCGGAUUUACUGGGUGUAAAGGGAGCGUAGACGGUGUGGCAAGUCUGAUGCGAAAGGCAUGGGCUCAACCUGUGGACUGCAUUGGAAACUGUCAUACUUGAGUGCCGGAGGGGUAAGCGGAAUUCCUAGUGUAGCGGUGAAAUGCGUAGAUAUUAGGAGGAACACCAGUGGCGAAGGCGGCUUACUGGACGGUAACUGACGUUGAGGCUCGAAAGCGUGGGGAGCAA
rnacentral:rRNA from 1 species